rnacentral:lncRNA from 1 species
GACAAUCACCAAGCAAAUAGUACCUCCUUAUAAUUUUAACUAAGCAAUCAAUGAAGCAUCAAUGAAGAUGUUACCGCACAAAGUUGAGGUUCUCUUGCCCAAUGUGCAUUAACAAAUGUGCAUUAUGGCAUCAGCUUUUAGGGGAGAAAUCAGCUUUAUUCUGUGAGAUUGAUCUGCAGGGAGACAGGGGGCACGUGCCCUCGGAUCUGUCUCCCUGAGUCAGGAUUUGGGGCACAAUUAAGAGGUUAGGAAGAACAGGCUGGCACUCAGAAAUGCUGGUGGCACAGGUUUUGAUUGGUGAGCUUCAAACAUUUAUGGUAAAGUUCUAAACAUUUAUGACAGGGUUCUAAACUUUUAUGAUGAGGUUCUAAACUUUUAUGAUGAGGUUCUACACAUUAAUGAUAGGCUGGGGAAAGAAUUUUAACACCAGAUCUUCCUGAAUGAGGGACCCCUCGCUUCUGAUAAGAGUCUGACUUUUAAGUUCAAGUCGUGUCCCCAUCCUUUGGUUCUGUGAAGAGGAGGAUCUUUGGUUCUGCAGUCAUUUCAGGUCAACAUUUCCUCUUCUGUGCAUACUCUGGCUCCAUGACUUUGCAGAUUUUCUGAAAGACAGUCCUUAAUCACUGUUGAUAAGAGAUGGGGUCCACUUCCACUGGCUCUAAAUAGGCUCAUGGUUACAAAGACACUCAUUCCAAAUAAGCAGAUGUAACCCCUGGUUUCGAUUCAAUUAUCUGUGUGAUUCAAAGAAAAGUAACAUUUUUCAUCAAUUACCUACUUAGUUAUUCAGUAGGGAUGUGGACCUUAAUAUUUAUGAACAAUAUCUUAUUUCUCUUCAUUACUGAGAGUAGAAGAAGCAUAAGUAAAACAAGCAGAAUUUCCAAAAAUUAGUAAACUGAGGUCACUAGAAAGUUGAUUGCUAGAAUCAAGAUCAUAAAGGUUGGUAGAAAAACAGAAACUAACCCAAAUCUGCCAGAUUCUGGAGCUAGAUGUCUUUGUUUCAAAUUUGGGUUUUGCCUCAAUUCCUCAUCUACAGAACGGAAAUUACGACAUCUAUUUCACAGAGUUGCUAUGAGGAUCGAAGAUAGUGCUUUAAAACGUUUAGAACUAGGCUUGGCACUCUUUUAGUGCUUGUUAAAUAAAAUACUGUAACUACUAUUUCUUUCCUGACUCUGAAUGCAACGAGUUAGGUCAACAAAAUGACCUCAUAAAUCUGAUGUAUAAUUCAAAACAGCAUUGAACUUAUACACGUAUAUGCAGUUAACUCAUUGCCUUGAACAUGGUGCAAAUGAAGAAGAGGCUUUUGAAAUUUCUUGCGUGGACACAGGCUUCAACAUUUCAAACAUGCAUUUCUUUGAAAGGAAACUGGACAGCAGAAUGUGCAUGAGGCAUCGCUUCUUGAUAAAGUUAUGCAUAUAAAAUGAUAGAAAGCACAGUUUUGCCUUCAAAGUCCACAGUGCUUUUUUUCCACAGCUUUGUUGAGAUAUAAUUUACAUAACGAUACAAAUCAUUCUGUCAACAGCAAACAAUGUUAGUGUUUAUUGAUUGGCUAUUAUGUCCCAGGCAAUAAACACAUGUUUUUUUGUUUAAUUUUCAUCAAAAUCCUUUCAGGUAGGUAUUACUGUCCCCAACUUUAUGAUUAAACUAAAAAUUAAGCACUUUGCAGCUACAGGUUGAAGUGAAGUUUGAACUCACGUUCAUAUGACUCCAAUAUUCUUCCCAUAUCAUGCUGCCUCUCUUUAGAAAAUCAUUUUCUUUCAGAGGUUGGGUAGGAAAGGGGGGAAAUGUGACCUUUUGAUGGUACUCAUGGUUAAAGAAACUCUAAUUUUCUCACCUGUCGGAAGAAAAGUCAAAUACUCUAAGAAAUAGCAGUAACUGGAAACUGUUUUCAGACUCUCAAAUCAAGGAUGACAUGAUAAUACAGAAUAGUAUUAUUUUGAAGAAAACAAGCAACCAUAAUGCUGAUGUAUACAAAUCACAAAGCCAAUACACACUCCUUUAACUUGGAGGGGUUCAACACCUCUUAGGAGCAUAAUUACACCCCUCUUUACUGCAUUCUCACCAAAGGAGCUAGGCAGACAUUAAAAAUGGGGAAAAAAGAGACAUCGUGCAGGAAUUCUUAGCCAUCUUUUAGACUUUUCACAGCAUUUAUGUUAUCUUAGUCAAAUCUCUGGACAUCUUCACGUUGCCAAAACUCAUUUAUUAAAUAUUUACGUGGUUCUUACGUGUUAGGCAGCACUGGGCUAGCCACCAGGUGUACAGAGGUUAAAAAAAAAUGGAUCCACUGCAGGCCAGUCUACAUUUUAGUUCAGGUUCUCACUAGGACACGUAGUGAGCGUGUUGUCGUGAACAGAUGGCACGUGGGCUUCGGAACUGGGUUAUAAACUUGCCUCUCCACUUACUGUUAUGACCUUGGCAUUUGAUUUUUGAGAGACUCGAUUUCCCCAUUUGUAACAUAAGCGGCUUCAAACAGCUGGUAUUAUCAUCUAGCUUCAGAUGUACACACCAUGGGAAGAUGGGACUAAGAAAAUGUUCCUUUACGACAUCGAGGAGAAAGGGUUUCUCGCGCGUCUUCUUCUCCUUUGGUACCUGGCGUUCGUCGAUCCCUAUUUUACACCCUGUUCGCCGAGGAAGUGGAACAGGUUUUCACUGCGGCUCGGCUGUCUGGGUGUGCCUGGGGAGGCGGCACAAAGACCGAGGCAAGGUCCCCACCUACAGCAGGACUAGGAGCGCUGGAGGGAGUCCGGGAAGGGCCCUGCGGCCGGGCGCUCGCAUUCGGAUGUUCUUUGUUUGGGCCAAUACUGAGCGAGCUCGCAACGAAAAGCCCAGAGUCACGGAGCUGUAGAAAUGUCCUGCCAUAUCCUAGCGUCCCCACGCCCCCCGCCCCACCCACCGGGAGCGUGAGUGAAUGCGCAAAUAAGGGCGUUCGGGCGGCUGUGGGAAAGAGGGAGGGGAAGGCAGCAGUGGAGGAGGGACGGGGCGGUGGCCCCGCUCAGGCGGCAGCUGACCGAGGCCCCAG